AAAAAAAGGCAAAUUGUUGGGCCCUACCCCAGAGCUACUAAAUCAGAAACUCUCGGGGUGGGGCCCAACAAUCCUUGUUUUCACAAGUUGCUUCUAGGUGAUCUUAAUGUACUCUAAAAUUUGAGAACCCCUGAUCUAGUUUGCCAUCUUCACUUAGAAAUGAGGGAACAGAGGCCUAGAGAGGGAACUUUUGCCAAGAGCACACAGCUAGUUAGGAUACAGCCACUCUCCCCCUCACCCAUAUGGUCUCAGCUAUUUAUUUUGCAAAUAACUUGGGGGGAUUUUAAUACAUUUUUUCUUAGAGGCAAUUGUUGUGUGGUUUAUAUAUUUUCCAUUUGUUAAUAAGCUACUUAGAUCAGUAGUGUCGCUGGGACCCAAACUAUGGAAUUAUUUUCCAUUAAAGUUCAGGCUCUUGGAAGUGGACUUGGUAGCUACAUGGUCCCUUUCCAGUCUGGCCCCAAGCUCAGGUGGACAAGUCACACUCCCCUGGCUGCUCCCCAAGACACUGGCACCAUCUUCCCCUGUCUGUCCCCAGAUGCCCUCCCUGUAAUGACACCACCAGCACCAUAGUCUUGCUCUGUGCAGAUGUUUUGGUCAAUAAUCCCUCCCUUAAUUUACCAGGCCAAGUGAGGGUGGAUGUGGCAAGAAUAGUUUCGCCCACUGGCCUUUGCUGCCUUCCUGGGAAGAUCUGCCUCUUCUUCCGGCUCUCACAGUGGGCCCAGCAUGUUUCCAAUAUUGCAUCAGUCUUUUCCCCAACAGAGUAACGCUUUAAUGGGGCAAAUUUGUUCUCUGCACGGGAAACAUGUGGGCCCUUGUCAGGUGCUGCAUCAGAGUGAGUUGCCCUCCACCAGCUUCCUAGAUCUGGCCGUGUGAGGAGGCAGAAGGAGCCCUCUGAGACUUUGGGGUGAGUAACUCUUCUAAAAGAGCAGAACCAUAAUAGACUGUGUUUACAUCAGCUCCGAUUCCUGGGAAAUUCAUACAAAAGUUGUGUUGUGGUCUGAAUUUUCUAGCAAACAGAGAAGGAAGCAGUUUGUCCAGUGUCACUAGACCUUACUGAAGGAUUUUACAUGCAGUGGGAAGGAAGAAACCCACUCCCUUCAUCCUCCAAAAACCGGGAUGGAGAUGGUUAGCAAGGGGGUGUGGGAGGCAGCCCAGGGUAGGACAGAGUGUCCAGUCCCUCUUGUCAGUGAGAGCCUUCCUUGACCCCAAACCUUAAGAAAUCAAAUCCCCACUCUCCUGGGAACUUGGUUUUCUCUUCCGGAGCCCAGAUUCGUUCCUGAGCCCCGAAAUGCUGAAGCCAGCAUUCCUCACCUCCAGGGAGCUGUGACAUCCUGGGAUGGUUUGUUUGAUUCACCAACAUCCUCUCUGCUUCCCCUGACCAAUCAGGGGUCUAUAACUUGCAGUUAAAUAAUUAAAGUCAAUUAAAGUUUAUUUCAUUUUGAGCAUUUCCCAAAGCCCUAGAGUAAAUUGGAGUCUCCCUGGAGUAUUGCAAAGCCGGGUUUGGAAAUCUCAGAUGAAGAGAAUGUUGGGCAAUGGAUGAUGGAGAAAAAGGAGAAACAAAGAGAAAGAGAAUGAUUCUUCAAGGCGAAUGACUCGAAAUGGAGAUUUCUUCUAACACCGCGUGAUCACCGACAACUUUUGCAGGACGGGAUGAAACUCCUCUGGGUUUCCAGUCAGAUGUGCGAGUGGGCUCUCUUUAAAUUAUAAACCUGCAGUCUAACAGAGCCUUCAAGGUUAUGGCCAUGAGAAAUGUGAGUGGAGAUAAAACCUCACAUCUUGAGGAUUAACAAGGAGAAUUUUUUAGUAGCAAAAUUAUAUUCUCUUUCAUCCCACAUAAAAAAGAGUUGUAAGUUGUGGACGUUUUCUGCGUGUUAUCAGUUUUAUGUCCUGUAGAAUUCCACCCCUCCAGACAAAUUUCCAU
rnacentral:lncRNA from 10 species